GCGACGGAAAUGAAGAUAAAUAGAUUACAGUAUUUCUAGAAGAGAAAUUAGCAACAAAUACUAUUUAUGAUCCCAAUAUGUCAAAUGAAAGCCGUAACUCCGAGCGUCCUACACACUUGUCAAGAUGAUUCAACUUGAGUAAACUAGGAAAGGUAAAACUGAAAUGAAACGUGCCCAUAAGAUCACAGAAGAUAGCAUGGCAUGGCGCAAGUUCGUGCAGACACCCUGCAUCCUAGAAGUGUCCUGAGACCAACAUCAUGUAUUAUGUUGUCAAGCAAAAAGAAAGUCUGCAAUCUCUCCUGUUCUCUAGUCUAAUCAACCUGAGGUCUGCUGUCCGAUACCACAACAAAUCAUCAUACUACAAGCUGUUUAAGAAAAUUUCACUAAUUAUGCUAUGCAUUUGACUCCAUGUGUAAUAUACAUGUAAUAUGUGACAGGAAUGUGUUACUUGGUCAUUAAUAAAGGAAAUAUUCCGCUUUAUUUCAACCCCAUCUGUGUGCUAGCCUUGACCUUUUACCUUUACAAAUAGAUUAACCGCAAUCAAACUAAAUACUAUUUUUUUCCAAUAUUUAGACUAGAUAACUAGCUUUCUAAAUAACUGAUCUAUAAAUAGCAACAUAGCAAAUUAGAUAUCUACGAUAACAAUUUAUUACUAACUGCCCUUAAAAUAUAAGACUCGAGCCUAGCUUACAGAUUUACCAUUAGGCA